UUUUUUACGCAUAGUAAAUCACCUCAAUACAUUUUACUGUUCCUAAACAACAAGUAACAGGUAUAGAAAAACGUAUUACAAGGUUCAUCAAUUCCUAUUGUGGUAAAAUAACAAAUUUAUAUGCUGCUUAGCGGUAAAGAAAAAAACCGUUGUUGGCAGUAUCGCUUUUUUGCGGCAUUUUGAAUAAAACGACGGUUACACAGCCGCCGUUUUAUUUUUUU
rnacentral:ncRNA from 1 species